GGUUUGGUGAUCAUAGCGCGAGCGAAACACCCGGCUCCAUUCCGAACCCGGCAGUUAAGCGCCGUAGCGCCGAUGGUACUGCGUCUUAAGGCGUGGGAGAGUAGGUCAUCGCCAAACCU
rnacentral:rRNA from 1 species